rnacentral:tRNA from 1 species
GCGGGAGUGGUGGAAUGGCAGACACGCCGGCUUUAGGUGCCGGUGUCUUCGGACGUGCGGGUUCAAGUCCCGCCUCCCGCACUA